GAUGAACGCUGGCGGCGUGCCUAAUACAUGCAAGUCGAGCGAACAGACGAGGAGCUUGCUCCUCUGACGUUAGCGGCGGACGGGUGAGUAACACGUGGAUAACCUACCUACAAGACUGGGAUAACUUCGGGAAACCGGAGCUAAUACCGGAUAAUAUAUUGAACCGCAUGGUUCAAUAGUGAAAGUCGGUUUUGCUGUCACUUAUAGAUGGAUCCGCGCCGCAUUAGCUAGUUGGUAAGGUAACGGCUUACCAAGGCAACGAUGCGUAGCCGACCUGAGAGGGUGAUCGGCCACACUGGAACUGAGACACGGUCCAGACUCCUACGGGAGGCAGCAGUAGGGAAUCUUCCGCAAUGGGCGAAAGCCUGACGGAGCAACGCCGCGUGAGUGAUGAAGGUCUUCGGAUCGUAAAACUCUGUUAUUAGGGAAGAACAAAUGUGUAAGUAACUAUGCACGUCUUGACGGUACCUAAUCAGAAAGCCACGGCUAACUACGUG
rnacentral:rRNA from 1 species